UGCAUCUAUUGUUGGUCUGGUUGGCAAUGUUGGACAAGCCAAUUACAGUGUUGCAAAAGCAGAGUGUCGCAAAGGAAUAUUCAAGCAGAAAUGUAAAUGUGAGUGUUUCACAAGUUUCCGCUAGUAAGUUGACACAUCCCCUUCUGCAGUAAGUGCUAAAAGUAAGUAUUUUUCAUGGGAUUACUCCACGUCAAUGUGUGCCCCAGGUUUCAUUGCAUCCGACAUGAUGCCAAACUUGGAGAACAUUGAGAAGAAGAUAUUGGAAACCAUCCCCUUGGGGAGAUAUGGCCAACCUGAUACGUUUCCACAUCAAAGUGAAGUAUAACACUUAACCCCCUUUUCUUUCA